AUUGAACGCUGGCGGCAGGCCUAACACAUGCAAGUCGAGCGGAUGCGCGGAGCUUGCUCCUUCAUUUAGCGGCGGACGGGUGAGUAAUGCGUAGGAAUCUGCCUGGUAGUGGGGGAUAACGUUCCGAAAGGAACGCUAAUACCGCAUACGUCCUACGGGAGAAAGCAGGGGACCUUCAGGCCUUGCGCUAUCAGAUGAGCCUAGGUCGGAUUAGCUAGUUGGUGAGGUAAUGGCUCACCAAGGCGACGAUCGGUAACUGGUCUGAGAGGAUGAUCAGUCACCUUGGAACUGGGACACGGUCCAGCCCCCUACGGAGGGCAGCGGUGGGGAAUUUUGGACAAUGGGCGAAAGCCUGAUCCAGCCAGGCCGCGGGCGUGAAGAAGGUCUUCGGUUUUUAAAGCACUUUAUGUGGGGAGAAAGGGCAGUAAGCUAAUACCUCGCUGUUUGGCCGUAACCGACAGAAUAGGCACCGCCUACCUUCUU
rnacentral:rRNA from 1 species